GGGGACAGCAGGCUGCAGGAGGUGCACCGGGGGCUCUUCAGAGACUGAACGACGCCAUCUGCGCCCUGUACUGCACCUGCAAGUCAGGAUGGGCCAGCACGGGUCAGGAUGGGCCAGCGCGGGUCAGCACGGGUCACUGUGAGCCAACGUGGGUCACCACGAGCCACCGCAGGUCAGGAUGGGCCAGCGUGGGCCACUGCGAGCCAAUGCGAGCCAGCACUGGUCAGGAUGGGCCAGCAAAGGUCAGCACAAGCCAACGCGGGUCACUGCGAGCUGUCGCGGGUCAGGACGGGCCAACACGGGUCAGGA